rnacentral:rRNA from 1 species
GACGAACGCUGGCGGCGUGCCUAAUACAUGCAAGUCGAGUGAACUGAUUAGAAGCUUGCUUCUAUGACGUUAGCGGCGGACGGGUGAGUAACACGUGGGCAACCUGCCUGUAAGACUGGGAUAACUUCGGGAAACCGAAGCUAAUACCGGAUAGGAUCUUCUCCUUCAUGGGAGAUGAUUGAAAGAUGGUUUCGGCUAUCACUUACAGAUGGGCCCGCGGUGCAUUAGCUAGUUGGUGAGGUAACGGCUCACCAAGGCAACGAUGCAUAGCCGACCUGAGAGGGUGAUCGGCCACACUGGGACUGAGACACGGCCCAGACUCCUACGGGAGGCAGCAGUAGGGAAUCUUCCGCAAUGGACGAAAGUCUGACGGAGCAACGCCGCGUGAGUGAUGAAGGCUUUCGGGUCGUAAAACUCUGUUGUUAGGGAAGAAUAAGUACAAGAGUAACUGCUUGUACCUUGACGGUACCUAACCAGAAAGCCACGGCUAACUACGUGCCAGCCGCCGCGGUAA